CUAGCGAGAACGUUGUUUUUCAGUCACGCUGUAACGCUGAACUUCUGCGACACUGAUUGAAUAGAGCCACAAAAAAUUUUGAGAAUUUCUUGCAGCCAUAAGUGCCAUACUGAAAGCCAGUGAGGAGGAAGUAAAGGAGCUAAAGAGGAGCUAAAGAGAGAGAAUGCAGUUUCAACCCCUGGAGGCCAUUGUGACAUCCAGUGAGUGGCAACACAGCUUUGGAAGCCAGGAGGAGUGUCAGUGAGAGGGAGGGAGGAGCUGAAGAGAGAGAACGCAGGUAUCUUCACAGCACCAGUGAGAGGAGUCUACUACAUCAGAUUCACUGCCAUGGAUUACCUCAAAUCACAUUCAUGUGUGUAUAUCUUUACCACAAUGACAAGAGAGUUCUGUUAAAUAACUAAUAUGGUACCCAUGGAGAUCUUCAGUACAGGUCUAAUGCAUUGACUCUAGAGCUGGACGAGGGUGAUGUGAUCUACAUGCGUCUCCCCUCAGGCAGGAGGCUCUUUGAUAAUUCUAAUAACUACACCUUCAGUGGCUUCCUGCUCUUCCCUAUGUGAAGGGAGCACCGUCAAUUAUGUAAUGAUUUCUGAUGUGAACAGUUUGGAUGAAUCAAUAAAGAGCA
ensembl:lncRNA